rnacentral:misc_RNA from 1 species
UACGAAGGGUGCAAGCGUUAAUCGGAAUUACUGGGCGUAAAGCGCGCGUAGGUGGUUUGUUAAGUUGGAUGUGAAAGCCCCGGGCUCAACCUGGGAACUGCAUCCAAAACUGGCAAGCUAGAGUAUGGCAGAGGGUGGUGGAAUUUCCUGUGUAGCGGUGAAAUGCGUAGAGAUUUGGAGGAAUACCAGUGGCGAAGGCGGCCCCCUGGCACACUACUGACACUGAGGUGCGAAAGCGUGGGGAGCAAACAGG